AAAAAAUAACGCAAGGGAUAUGAUGUAAGAGCUACGGUUAGCCCAAAAACGUAGCCCUUUAUAUAUAUAUAUAAAGGGCUAUGAUUUUGGGCUAACCGCAACCCUUGGGCUUUUUGAAAAAUAUAUUUUCCCUAAACUCGCUUCCUUUCCUUCUCGUAUUACCCGUGUAUCCAAUAUUAUUUGGGCCUUUCUCUCUCUCUCUCCUUCCAUCUCCUCUCUUUCACCCCGUCAUCUCUACCUCUCUCGUUGUAUCAUCCCUCACCACCGGAGCACCGUCGCAAGCUUCACUUCUUGUUCGUUAUUUAAUAUAAUUUUUCGUGGUUGUAUUAUUGUUGUUGAAGAUUAAAAGAGGCUAUUUCAGAGGUCGUUCUUCGAUUUCUCCUCUACUUUGCCAAUUUGAAGUUGUUAUGGAACAAAGUAUGAUUUAGACUUCAAGACCGCAAAUAAGUCAGGGCUAAAAUUUCAAGUCUGGAGAGGAUAUGAUUGAAUUGUACAAACAACUUUGUUCUAGUAUAGUUGUGUCUUGUUCCUCUCUUGUUUCACAUUCAUCCUUAUAUUUCUGCCAUUUGGAAUCCUUGUAGAGGUUUCGUUUUCAUCAUUGUUCUUUUUUAUGCAUCUUGCAGAGUACCCAAUUGUGUAUCCAUUUGACAAAGAGGAUUGAGAACUCAAAAGCAUUUCUCUACUCAUUAAGCUUGCCAGAGAGAAGCUCAUGUGCUAACUAGCUCGGACAAGUUUGGAGAUGCUAUCACUGAAUAUAGAGAGUUAAAGCAAGAAGAUUUGAGACGGUGUUUUGAUUAAUGAACGAAGAGAUGGAACGCUUUCAAGAACAAAUAAUAGCAGAUAUGGGGCUAGCAUUCCAUGAAUUUGCCAAAGGACAGGCACGCUUGGUCAACAGCAUUUCUGAAGCUUGGAGAGGUUUGCUUCCAAAGCUUCAAGCCUGUUCUUCUUGAGUAUCGAGGUGAUAGGUACAAGCAGCCCAAAAGGAACGGAGUGGUCCAAAGGAAUGCCAAGAGCAUCUGUUUCUCUUGUAAAUUAUGGAUAAUCAACAAUGAAUAUUAAAACAUCGCAAUGCAAUCUCAAUUAUGGAGAAUGAAUCGAAAAGAAGAGUUGCAGAGAUGAUGAAUGAAAGAUGUUAUUGAUAGGGGAAGUUGAGGAGUUACUGUGAUCAAAACUCACGACUGAUGGUAGGGAUUUUGAAGAUGGUAAUUAACUAGGAGGGUAGGUUAGUAAAUUAGGUUGAAGUAAUGGGUUAGUCAGUUUUAAGUGGAUUAAGGCUACUAAAUGUAAUUAGUCAUAGUAUAGUGUCACUUUGUAUAAUAUUAUUUUUGCCUUGCCACCACAUAGAAAAGUCUAAACUUGAAGGCUACCAUGUAGAAUUUCCCAUCUUUUUUCCUUACUUAGAUGACCAAUUGCCUGGAGCACAUUUGUUGUGACUCUAAGUCAAUAUAAUUUUGAGCAUGAUAAACAGUCUAUGCCGUAACAUGUAUGUGUGUAACAGUGAGCUAAGGAAGCCAUCAAGAUUGGAUGUUCAUAAAAGCUCAAGAACCUGAAUAUAUGGAAGCUUAGGUCUAGUUAUAUUCUUA